rnacentral:lncRNA from 1 species
AUAUCCCUUUUAGUUGCAAUUAGAGCAUGUGAAAAUCCUAUUACCUUUGAGGAACUCUACGAUAAGCUCAUUGACUUUGAAGGAACUUUUAAAUGAGAUGAAUCCAUAAAAGUGCUAUUGUUAUUGCCAACUAUAACUAAAAAUAUAGAGGCAAUCAGUCGGGUAAUGGUAACAACUAAUGUCAAGGCCAAAACCCUUCGCA